GAUAAUACGGAGGAAGGUGGGCAUGACNUCAAAUCAUCAUGCCCUUUAUGUCCUGGGCUACACACGUACUACAAUGGAUGUUACAGAGGGAAGCUAAAUAGUGAUAUGGAGCGAAACCCAAAAAGCAUCCCCAGUUCGGAUUGUAGGCUGAAAUUCGCCUACAUGAAGCCGGAAUUGCUAGUAAUGGCAGGUCAGCAUACUGCCGUGAAUACGUUCCCGGGCCUUGUACACACCGCCCGU
rnacentral:rRNA from 1 species